CCUACGGGGGGCUGCAGCUAAGAAUCUUCCGCAAUGGGGGAAACCCUGACGGAGCGACGCCGCGUGGACGAUGGAGGCCGUAAGGUUGUAAAGUCCUUUUCCUGGUGAAGAAUGACCGUGGGAGUGGAAAGCCCAUGGGAUGACGUUAGCCAGGGAAUAAGCCCCGGCCAAUUACGUGCCAGCAGCCGCGGUAAUACGUAUGGGGCAAGCGUUGUUCGGAGUUAUUGGGCGUAAAGGGCGAGUCUGCUGCGAAAAUGCAGGGCCUAACCCUGCAGAUGCGCUGGAAACUGGUGGGCUUGAGUUCCUGAGGGGAAGCUGGAAUUCCAGGUGUAGGGGUGAAAUCUGUAGAUAUCUGGAAGAACACCGGUGGCGAAGGCGAGCUUCUAUCAGAGGACUGACGCUGAGGCGCGAAAGCGUGGGGAGCAAACAGGAUUAGAUACCCCGGUAGUC
rnacentral:rRNA from 1 species